AGUGAACGCUGGCGGCAGGCCUAACACAUGCAAGUCGAACGGCAGCACAGUAAGAGCUUGCUCUUACGUGCGGCGCGUGGCGGACGGGUGCGGUAUACUUGGGAAUACACUUUUUCGUGGGGGAUAACGUCGGGAAACUUACGCUAACACCGCAUACGACCUACGGGUGAAAGCAGGGGAUCUUCGGCCCUUGCGCGAUUGAAUGAGCCGAGGUCGGAUUCGCUAGUUGGCGGGGCAAAGGCCCACAAAGGCGACGAUCCGUAUCUGGUCUGAGCGGAUCGACAGCCACACUGGAACUGAGGCAGGGUACAGACACCUACGGGAGGAAGCAGUGGGGACUAUUGGACAAUGGGCGCGAGCCGGAUCCAGCCAUACCGCGUGAAUGAAGAAGGCCUACGGGUUGGAGAGCCAUUUUGUUGGGAGAGAAGUGAAGCAGGUUAAUACCCCGUCAUUCUGACGGUACCCAAAGAAUAAGCACCGGCUAACUUCGUG
rnacentral:rRNA from 1 species